AUACGGAGGGUGCAAACGUUGUUCGGAAUCACUGGGCGUAAAGGGCGCGCAGGCGGUUUGAUUAGUCAGAUGUGAAAGCCCACGGCUUAACCGUGGAAGUGCAUUUGAAACUGUCAGACUUGAGUACCAGAGGGGGUAGUGGAAUUCCCGGUGUAGAGGUGAAAUUCGUAGAUAUCGGGAGGAAUACCGGUGGCGAAGGCGACUACCUGGCUGGAUACUGACGCUGAGGCGCGAAAGCGUGGGGAGCAAACAGGAUUAGAUACCCUUGUAGUCC
rnacentral:rRNA from 1 species